ACGCGGCGGUGCUUACCACAUGCAGUCGAACGGCAGCGCGGGGCAACCUGGCGGCGAGUGGCGAACAGGUGAGUAAUAUAUCGGAACGUACCCUGGCAGUGGGGGAUAACCGUAGCGAAAGUUACGCUAAUACCGCAUACGAUCUAAGGAUGAAAGUGGGGGAUUCGCAAGGAACCUCAUGCUCCUGGAGUCGGCCGAUAUCUGAUUAGCUAGUUGGUAGGGUAAAAGCCUACCAAGGCAUCGAUCAGUAGCUGGUCUGAGAGGACUGAUCAGCCACACUGGGACUGAGACACGGCCCAGACUCCUACGGGAGGCAGCAGUGGGGAAUUUUGGACAAUGGGCGCAAGCCUGAUCCAGCCAUUCCGCGUGAGUGAUGAAGGCCUUCGGGUUGUAAACCGCUUUUGUCCGGAACGAAAAGGCGCCUCCUAAUACGGGGACGCUCUUGAGGUACCGGACGAAUAAGCACCGGCUAACUACGGUGCCAGCAGCCGGGUCAAUACGUAGGGUGCGAAGCGUUACAUCCGGAAUUUACUGGGGCGUAAAAGCGUGCGCCAGGCGGGUUCCGGCAAAAGUCUGAUGGUGAAAGCCCCCGGGGCUCGAC
rnacentral:rRNA from 1 species